UAAUCUGCUCAAUCUGCUUAUCUGAAUGUAUUUCUGCAGAAAUUUAGAAACAGCUGGCAAUAGUGAUGCCAUUUUAUGAGACUUAAAGACAACUGAGAUCAUUAGGGUCCCUGAAAAUGGCUACAAUA
rnacentral:snoRNA from 1 species